AGCAGUGUGGCUCAGUGGAAAGAGCCUGGGCUUCGGCGUCAGAGGUCAUGGGUUCGACUCCCGGCUCUGCCA
rnacentral:tRNA from 1 species